GGGUUGCAGGUGAGAAUUGGAUGGAACUGAACCAUCUUUUCUCCUCCAUGGUUAGUGAGGGUUCAGUUUCCUCCAAUAUCUCACCUUCGACCA
rnacentral:pre_miRNA from 1 species